rnacentral:rRNA from 1 species
GACGAACGCUGGCGGCGUGCUUAACACAUGCAAGUCGAACGGAGCGAAUGAAAGCUUGCUUUUAUAAGCUUAGUGGCAAACGGGUGAGUAACACGUAGGCAACCUGCCGACAGGAUGGGGACAACAUUCCGAAAGGAAUGCUAAUACCGAAUGAAGUCAGAGGAGGGCAUCCUCUUCUGAUGAAAGAUGGCCUCUAUAUAUAAGCUAUCACCUGUCGAUGGGCCUGCGUCUGAUUAGCUGGUAGGUGAGGUAACGGCUCACCUAGGCGACGAUCAGUAGCCGGUCUGAGAGGAUGAACGGCCACAUUGGGACUGAGACACGGCCCAGACUCCUACGGGAGGCAGCAGUGGGGAAUCUUCCGCAAUGGGCGCAAGCCUGACGGAGCAACGCCGCGUGAGUGAAGAAGGUCUUCGGAUCGUAAAGCUCUGUUGAUGGGGACGAACGUGCCUAAUGCGAAUAGUUUUAGUAAGGACGUACCCAUCGAGAAGCC